rnacentral:rRNA from 1 species
UUAGUGGCGGACGGGUGAGUAACGCGUGGAAAACCUGCCGUAUACUGGGGGAUAACACUUAGAAAUAGGUACUAAUACCGCAUAAGCGCACAGCUUCGCAUGAAGCGGUGUGAAAAACUCUGGUGGUAUACGAUGGUUCCGCGUCUGAUUAGCUAGUUGGUGGGGUAAUGGCCUACCAAGGCAACGAUCAGUAGCCGGCCUGAGAGGGUGAACGGCCACAUUGGGACUGAGACACGGCCCAAACUCCUACGGGAGGCAGCAG